AUGGCCCAAGAGAAACUAGAGGGAGGGCCAUUGUGUGACCGCUGCUGCAGGCGCUUGCUCCGAGUAGCCCUGCGGCUCUGCUUCUGCCAUGAUGAUCCACGGCUUUCAGAGCAGCCACCAGGACUUCUCCUUCGGGCCUUGGAAGCUGACGGCGUCCAAGACUCACAUCAUGAAGUCUGCGGAUGUGGAAAAGUUGUACCUACAACAGAUCAUAUAGAUACAGAAAAAUUGAAAGCCAGAGAACAGAUUAAAUUUUUUGAAGAAGUUCUCCUGUUUGAAGAUGAAUUGCAUGAUCAUGGUGUUUCCAGCCUGAGUGUGAAAAUUAGAGUGAUGCCUUCCAGCUUCUUCCUGCUGUUGCGGUUUUUCCUGAGAAUUGAUGGGGUGCUCAUCAGAAUGAAUGACACGAGGCUUUACCAUGAGGCUGACAAGACCUACAUGUUACGAGAAUAUACAUCCAGAGAGAGCAAAAUUGCUAAUUUAAUGCAUGUUCCACCUUCCCUCUUCACGGAACCUAAUGAAAUAUCACAAUAUUUACCAAUUAAGGAAGCAGUUUGUGAGAAGCUUGUAUUUCCAGAAAGAAUUGAUCCUAACCCAGUGGACUCACAAAGCAUGCCCUCAGAAUAAAAUGUGGUACAGCAGACUCUCUCCAUGUGGAACCUGACUGGAUACCUUGGCUAUUUGUAGGGGUAUUUUUAUUAUGAGAAUUAAUUUCCUUGCUUAUGCGCAGAUUUUCUGUAGCCUUAAAGGAAAAUAAAAGAUUGCUGCAGGCA